GCAAGCUGAGCGGUAGAUUUUCUUCGGAAGAUUGAGAGCGGCGUACGGGUGCGUAACACGUGUGCAACCUGCCCUUAUCAAGAGGAUAGCCCGGAGAAAUUCGGAUUAAUACUCUAUAAUAUAUUGACUGGCAUCGGUUAAUAUUGAAAGAUUUAUCGGAUAAGGAUGGGCACGCGCAAGAUUAGGUAGUUGGUAGGGUAACGGCCUACCAAGCCGAUGAUCUUUAGGGGGCCUGAGAGGGUGAUCCCCCACACUGGUACUGAGACACGGACCAGACUCCUACGGGAGGCAGCAGUGAGGAAUAUUGGACAAUGGGUUAGCGCCUGAUCCAGCCAUCCCGCGUGAAGGACGACGGUUCUAUGGAUUGUAAACUUCUUUUAUAUAGGGAUAAACCUACUCUCGUGAGAGUAGCUGAAGGUACUAUAUGAAUAAGCACCGGCUAACUCCGUGCCAGCAGCCGCGGUAAUACGGAGGGUGCAAGCGUUAUCCGGAUUUAUUGGGUUUAAAGGGUCCGUAGGCGGGCUUGUAAGUCAGUGGUGAAAUCCGGCAGCUCAACUGUCGAACUGCCAUUGAUACUGCAAGUCUUGAGUAAAUUAGAAGUGGCUGGAAUAAGUAGUGUAGCGGUGAAAUGCAUAGAUAUUACUUAGAACACCAAUUGCGAAGGCAGGUCACUAUGUUUUAACUGACGCUGAUGGACGAAAGCGUGGGUAGCGAACAGGAUUAGAUACCCUGGUAGUCCACGCCGUAAACGAUGAUUACUCGUUUUUGGGCUUUAUAGUUCAGAGACUAAGCGAAAGUGAUAAGUAAUCCACCUGGGGAGUACGUUCGCAAGAAUGAAACUCAAAGGAAUUGACGGGGGCCCGCACAAGCGGUGGAGCAUGUG
rnacentral:rRNA from 1 species